CUCUGUGCUCCCUCCUCUCCCACGUCGACACCCUCGAGCCCGCACCCCCUCUGCCUUGUCUCCUCACCGCUCCCUCCUCUCAAACGUCACGCCAUCGAUGCGUCGUCAGGGACACCGUCGACACGUCGGGGAUACGCCGCAAUGGAGCUCAGAUAAGAGCAGGGCAGCGGAUUGGAUCGAGGGCACCCGAUGACCUCGCCGCCGCUGUCACCUGGAUUUGCUAGCCACCGCGUGGAGUCUCCCUGGCCGCCGCCUCGAGUCACCUCCGUCACCGCCGCGAGUCAGCUCCACUUUUGCUGCCAGGAAUCUCGUCCCCGGCAAGGAAAAUUCCUAGGGAUUUGACUGACGGAGGCAUCAGUAUCUGGCAUUGUCCAAGAAGCCAUUGGUGGGGUUGGAUCAGCUAGGUCGUAGACCUCUGAUUGCUUAGGCCCCAUGGCAGCAGCCGGAUUGGGGCGGCGGUGGAUGGCCAUGGAGGGUGUGGGUGCAUGCGGGCGGAACCAACAUGGGUUGGUGGAGUAACGGAUGCGGGCAGGGUCAGCGGUUAGGGGCACUGCGAGGAGUGGAAGGCAGCGGUCAUGCACCAGAUCGGAGCUGCAGUAGCAAUGAGCUGCUGGUGUUUCAGGUUUGCCUCAAUGGCCUUCAGCUCCAGCCCCGACCCGGAUAGUGCCAUGGAUCCAGCAAGGUGGUCCACGCUGAGGAAGAGGAAAACAACGAGGGAAGAAGCCGGUGUUCUUAUGGUUUAUUCUCCUGUCGAUUUCCCCUCUUGCCUUGUCUGAUUUUGUGGUGAAAAGAAUGGUGGAUUUCUUUGCUGGGUGGUCUAAUUUGGGGUUGAUUUAUGCCCUCAAUUCCUUCCUUUUCUGGUUCCUUUCCGGCUUGCUAUUCAUGUCGUUCCAAUGGCUGGAAGAAAGGGGACACAAUAUAGCUUGUUACAAAUCAUUUCAAAAUUUCCUUGAAAGACACCAUAGAUGAGUUCUUUCAUCAUUAUUUUGUAUGGAUCUAUCUUUGUUUACUUUGUUUUUUAGUUCCAUGUGUAACCAUCAGAUGCUUUUGCUCUUUUAUUUAAUUGAAUGCACGUAUAUCUGAUGUAUUAGGACGAGAGGCCAGUGGAUGGAAAAGGCGUUGCCUGGUCUGAUUUUGUGGUGAAAACAAUGGUGGAUUUCUCUGCUGGGUGGUCUAAUUUGGGUUUGAUUUAUGCCCUCGAUUCCUUCCUUUUAUGGUUCCUUUCUGGCUUGCUAUUCAUGUUCUUGCAAUGGCUGGAAGAAAGAGGACACAAUACAGCUUGUUACAAAUCAUUCCAAAGUUUCCUUGAAAGACACCAUAGAUGAGUUCUUUCAUCAUUAUUUUGUAUGGAUCUAUCCUUGUUUACUUUGUUUUUUAGUUCCCUGUGUAACCAUCAGAUGCCAUUGCUCUUUUAUUUAAUUGAAUGCAGGUAUAUAGGAGGUAUUAGGAUGAGAGGUCAGUGGAUGGAAAAGGCGUUGGUACAAAAGUCAUUGGCAAACUAUAAUAGGCUUAUGCAUCUGAGAUUCCUAUGAUGGCGAAAAAGUGACAAGACAUUGAAUGUGGAACAUUACAGAGAAAUGAUUGACAGUUUGACAGAAGUAUUAUAUGAGUUUCGGACGACAAGGUCGCGUAUGGAGUACUUUCACUGUUAAGUUUCCAUUGCCCAGCUCCUGAAGUCUGUUAUUGCCGUUAUCUUCUUGGGAGUACUUGAGAAGGCGUGGCUGGGAAUGUGGGGACACGCCAUGGCAGAGGCGCGUGGUUGGCAGGAGGAGUCAGGGAGGCAUGAAGGUGGACAUGUGGAUGUUAUCGUGGCAUUGACACAUUUCUCUCCACCGAUGCUACAUACCAGGGAUUCGUUGGAAGCCACACAGGGCACCUGAGAAGGAGAGGAGGAGAAUGCUCUGAAGAGAGGAGAUGAUAAGUUUUAUUGUUUUGUUUUAAGAGCAAGGGAGUUGAUAUGUAGUCCCCUGGCUUAUUUGUAUUCUACUAUGUGUAUGGCCAAAGAAUUCAUGAUUUUAUACACACAUAUAUUUUUAAACAAAAGCCUAUAUAUUUUUUGCUCAAA